CCUAAUGACCACGACAGAAUAGUAAUGUAUUUUAAACACAUUUGAGAAAAUCUGCACAAUAUCAGCAUAUUUCAGCUUCUUUUCUCAACAUAAUGUAAUUACUGUGUAAAGUUUUCACUGAGGUUUUACAACAUUAUUUCCAUCACAGUUUUUGAGGUCUUCACUGUACCUUAAGCAUAGGCUUGAAAGACAUCUUAAACUGGUUUUAAAUGCACAGGAAGGUGGAGAUAGAUGAGUCAGAUAUUAUUUAAUACCAACAUCUCUAAAUAGUAUCAAAUUUUUUUUGUCCUUCUGAUUUGAUAAUCUUCAUUACCCUGGAAAUGUGGCAUUGUUAGUGUUUAUAAAGAAGCUCCAUUUUAUACUGACCCAUUUAAAACUGAUCAAAUAACAGGUUUGUGGGAGCAUGCCAGCUUUUACUGAAUAAAGGUUUGACCCAGCCCUGCAUGCUCAAAUGGAUGAGACAGAAAAUGACAGUAUAUGUCACCAGAUCUGAAUUGCCUGGGAGAAUGGAAAUUCAUAUCAUGUUGUCUGUGCUGCUUUUCGGAAUGAUAAGUACAGUGGUUUCCCAGGGUCCAGG